AUGCCACGUCGCAUUCCAGAUUAUCCAGAUGCUUACGCCGGAUGGAAUGCUCUGAGCAGUUUCGAUUCUUAUAUAUUCGUAGUUAGGAUUCGUCGUUUCUUCGUAGUUGUCGCAAUCACUUCAAGCAGUCUUCUUCAUCUGGCCGCAUUGCAUCAAUAUGGAUCAAAUAAUCCAUUGGGUGUACAUUCUGAGAUGGAUAAAAUUGCUUCUUACCCUUAUUUUUAUGUAAAGGAAAUUGUAGGUCGGGCUAUCUUUUUUCCAUUUCCUUUCGGUGGUUUUUUUUCUAUGGAAAAUAUGCUCCAUUCUUUGGACAAUUAUGGAACUUAUCGUUCCCGGCGUCUUUGGUUACUCUUAUCCCAUGGAAUGCUUCCACGUGAGUCCCCCACUGCCUCCGGGAGAGCCCGCAGAAAUAACCUCUUCCUUUAA
rnacentral:rRNA from 1 species